UUUCCGUAGGUGAACCUGCGGAAGGAUCAUUAAAGAAUCGCCCCGUUUUUUUAUAAAUGGGUUCUAUUCCCAAACCGUGUAUACAUACCUUUGUUGCUUUGGCAGGCCGCCUCCGGGCGUCGGCUCCGGCUGAUAGUGCCUGCCAGAGGACCCAAACUCUGUGUUUAGUGAUGUCUGAGUACUAUAUAAUAGUUAAAACUUUCAACAACGGAUCUCUUGGUUCUG
rnacentral:misc_RNA from 1 species